GGGAAUGUGGCUUAGUGGUAAAGUGCUUGCCUAGCAUGCUUGAAGCCCCGGGUUCGAUUCCUCAGUACCA
rnacentral:tRNA from 1 species